rnacentral:lncRNA from 1 species
AAAAAGUUGUUGAUUUCAUUCUACACAUCAUCAAUGACACAUCUCUAGUUAAAUAUGUUAAUUUAUUUAUUAUAGGAACAUAAUAGUAAUUAUAAAUCAAAAAAUAAAUUUAUUAUUAAAAUAAAUAGAAUUAUUGAAAAAAAUAGGAAUUAUAAGUCUUUUCUAAAAAAUUAAUGGAUUUUAUUUUUCUUUUUCCAAACGUUUGAAAACUCCAUGACCUUUUCUCUUUCUUUAACUUUAGCUAGCUCCCUUUAUAGUUAGUUAAAAAGUAUGUGUCGGCUCAAGCUCAGCCCAGGCCCACAGGCCAGCCCUCAAGGUAAAAUUAUGGAUAAUGACUUAAAAAAUAUAAAGCCCAUAUAGAAUGGAAUUGGUUAAGGACCUUCAACAAAAGCCUGCCCUGUCCUAGAAAAAGAAAAAGAAAACUCAAAAAUCAAAAUAAAAAAAAAACGCAAAAUAGCCAAAUCCUAAUGCCUCAACGUCACUGCCCUUAGCCACUCACACUAAUCGCACUAGCAGCCACCCAAAACGGCAAAAACUAAAUGCAGCAACAGCCAACAGUCGGCAGCCACGCCUUCUCACCUUCAGUAUUAUUGCAAUAAAUUGUGUGUGUCACAGAUUCAUUUUUAGGAUACUCUUAGGUGAUGUUUGGUUGGGAGAAGAGAAUGGGGGAGAGAAAAGUAAUUCAAAUUCUACUUUUAUUUUUAUUGUUUGGUUGUACAAAAUAUAUAAGAAUUUAAUAUCUCUUAUAAUAUAAAAUUUGAAUUCCACACCAAAGAGUGAAGAAUUCAAAUUCCUCUUAUUUUGGAA